rnacentral:misc_RNA from 1 species
GAUGAAGAACGCAGCGAAAUGCGAUAAGUAAUGUGAAUUGCAGAAUUCAGUGAAUCAUCGAAUCUUUGAACGCACAUUGCGCCCGUCAGUAUUCUGGCGGGCAUGCCUGUUCGAGCGUCAUUACGCCCCUCAAGUCCCCUGUGGACUUGGUGUUGGGGAUCGGCGAGGCUGGUUUUCCAGCACAGCCGUCCCUUAAAUUAAUUGGCGGUCUCGCCGUGGCCCUCCUCUGCGCAGUAGUAAAACACUCGCAACAGGAGCCCGGCGCGGUCCACUGCCGUAAAACCCCCCAACUUUUUAUAGUUGACCUCGAAUCAGGUAGGACUACCCGCUGAACUUAAGCAUAUCAAUAACGGAGGA